AGCGAACGCUGGCGGCAUGCUUUACACUUGCAAGUCGAGCGGCAGCGCGGGGCAACCUGGCGGCGAGCGGCGGACGGGUGAGUAGAGCAUCGGAACGUAUCCCGUAGUGGGGGACAACCCAGCGAAAGCUGGGCUAAUACCGCAUAUGCUCUACGGAGGAAAGUGGGGGACUCGCAAGGGCCUCACGCUAUGGGAGCGGCCGAUGUCCGAUUAGCUAGUUGGUGGGGUAAAGGCCCACCAAGGCGACGAUCGGUAGCUGGUCUGAGAGGAUGAUCAGCCCCACUGGGACUGGGACACGGCCCAGACUCCUCCGGGAGGCAGCAGUGGGGAAUUUUGGACAAGGGGGGCAACCCUGAUCCAGCCAUGCCGCGUGCGGGAAGAAGGCCUUCGGGUUGUAAACCGCUUUUGUCUGGGAAGAAAAGGCGUCCACUAAUACGGGGCGUUCUUGACGGUACUGGAAGAAUAAGCACCGGCUAACUACGUGCCAGCCGCCGCAGUAACAC
rnacentral:rRNA from 1 species